CCUACGGGUGGCAGCAGUGGGGAAUAUUGGGCAAUGGACGCAAGUCUGACCCAGCAACGCCGCGUGAAGGAAGAAGGCUUUCGGGUUGUAAACUUCUUUUAAGGGGGAAGAGCAGAAGACGGUACCCCUUGAAUAAGCCACGGCUAACUACGUGCCAGCAGCCGCGGUAAUACGUAGGUGGCAAGCGUUGUCCGGAUUUACUGGGUGUAAAGGGCGUGCAGCCGGAGAGGCAAGUCAGAUGUGAAAUCCGCGGGCUCAACCCGCGAACUGCAUUUGAAACUGCUUCCCUUGAGUAUCGGAGAGGUAACCGGAAUUCCUAGUGUAGCGGUGAAAUGCGUAGAUAUUAGGAAGAACACCAGUGGCGAAGGCGGCUUACUGGACGACAACUGACGGUGAGGCGCGAAAGCGUGGGGAGCAAACAGGAUUAGAUACCCUAGUAGUCC
rnacentral:rRNA from 1 species